UCAAAUGGAACCUUGGUAUAAGGACACUCAUCCAGCAGAUAGAAAGUGAGGAAGUUUUGACCAACAACAAGGUUGGCACAGCAGCCAUACUUCUCAUGAUGAAGUAUUACAAGGAAGAUGAAGACUCCCUCUUUGUCUUAGCAGAUGAAACAUCUACCAGGAUGUCCCUUGAAGCAGAGAGCAACCUGCCAAGCACCCCAAGGCUGAUUAUGCGUGGACAAAAUUUAAUGACCGCCACCUGCUGGAUGGUGAGUGCAGAGGGGCGUGUAAUUGUUGAGCUGGACAAAGAGAACACCUUUGCUGAUGCGAUGUCAGUCUUCUUUGGUUCAUUCUAUGUAUUGAACCUGGAAUACCAGGAGUCAGCGUGUGCAACAUUGGAACUAAUUCAGAGGUUUUUUGUAAGGAUAAACCUUGAAGAGGGAACAAAAUGUACCUCCAAGGUUGGGACAAGCAGAAAGACUGGGACCACUGUGAAGCGAAAGGUUGUUCACAUUAACCCUCAUGUCACAACUUUCCUCCAGCGGCUUACUGAAUUUGAGUGGCAAACUUCAAAUUAGAUGAUCCAUGGCCCAUGCUUUCUGGACAUUUACACAAGACGAACAACAAUGAAGACGCUGUCUCUAUCCAAUAGGUUUUUUGAGUGCAACAGUUUUGAUUUUUUUUCCUUCUUUUACCCGUUUGUUAAAAAUUAUUUCAGCUACUUACACUUUAAUUGUCACAUGUAUUAGCUCACCCUACAAAUCAAUGAACUCAGUCCACAAAGCAAGAUCAGGGUUCAGUGCAGGUCAGUCAAGUUCCUCCACACCACAUACGCUCAUCCAUGUCCUUGUGGACCCUGCUUUGUGCAUUGAUUUGGUGGUGUGAGCCAGUAUUUUGGACAAAGUCUAUAUAAAGGCAGAAGUGUGGGGCUUGAUAUUAUAUUCAUUACAAUUCAGUUUAUUUGUAUGGUGCCAACAAAAUGAAUGCCAAGGCACUUCACAUUGUAGGUUUAAGACCCUACAAAAUCUAACUAAGAAAACCCAACACUUGAGCAUAUGUUAUCUGCCAUGAUAUGGAUAUGACAUAAUAUCGUUAUUGUUUGUACAAC